GUUGAACGCUGGCGGCAGGCUUAACACAUGCAAGUCGAGCGGGGGAAGGUAGCUUGCUACUGGACCUAGCGGCGGACGGGUGAGUAAUGCUUAGGAAUCUGCCUAUUAGUGGGGGACAACAUCUCGAAAGGGAUGCUAAUACCGCAUACGUCCUACGGGAGAAAGCAGGGGAUCUUCGGACCUUGCGCUAAUAGAUGAGCCUAAGUCGGAUUAGCUAGUUGGUGGGGUAAAGGCCUACCAAGGCGACGAUCUGUAGCGGGUCUGAGAGGAUGAUCCGCCACACUGGGACUGGGACACGGCCCAGACUCCUACGGGAGGCAGCAGUGGGGAAUAUUGGACAAUGGGGGGAACCCUGAUCCAGCCAUGCCGCGUGUGUGAAGAAGGCCUUAUGGUUGUAAAGCACUUUAAGCGAGGAGGAGGCUACUCUAGUUAAUACCUAGGGAUAGUGGACGUUACUCGCAGAAUAAGCACCGGCUAACUCUGUGCCAGCCGCCGCUGUAA
rnacentral:rRNA from 1 species